GACGAACGCUGGCGACGUGCCUAAUACAUGCAAGUCGAACGAACGGAGGAAGAGCUUGCUCUUCCAAAGUUAGUGGCGGACGGGUGAGUAACACGUGGGCAACCUGCCUGUAAGUUGGGGAUAACUCCGGGAAACCGGGGCUAAUACCGAAUGAUAAAGUGUGGCGCAUGCCACGCUUUUGAAAGAUGGUUUCGGCUAUCGCUUACAGAUGGGCCCGCGGUGCACUAGCUAGUUGGUAGGGUAAUGGCCUACCAAGGCAACGAUGCAUAGCCGACCUGAGAGGGUGAUCGGCCACACUGGGACUGAGACACGGCCCAGACUCCAACGGGAGGCAGCAGUAGGGAAUCUUCCGCAAUGGACGAAAGUCUGACGGAGCAACGCCGCGCGUAUGAAGAAGGUUUUCGGAUCGUAAAGCUCUGUUGUUAGAGAAGAACGUUGGUAGGAGUGGAAAAUCUACCAAGUGACGGUAACUAACCAGAAAGGGACGGCUAACUACGUGCCAGCAGCCGCGGUAAUACGUAGGUCCCGAGCGUUGUCCGGAUUUAUUGGGCGUAAAGCGAGCGCAGGCGGUUCUUUAAGUCUGAAGUUAAAGGCAGUGGCUUAACCAUUGUACGCUUUGGAAACUGGAGGACUUGAGUGCAGAAGGGGAGAGUGGAAUUCCAUGUGUAGCGGUGAAAUGCGUAGAUAUAUGGAGGAACACCGGUGGCGAAAGCGGCUCUCUGGUCUGUAACUGACGCUGAGGCUCGAAAGCGUGGGGAGCAAACAGGAUUAGAUACCCUGGUAGUCCACGCCGUAAACGAUGAGUGCUAGGUGCUAGGCCCUUUCCGGGGCUUAGUGCCGCAGCUAACGCAUUAAGCACUCCGCCUGGGGAGUACGACCGCAAGGUUGAAACUCAAAGGAAUUGACGGGGGCCCGCACAAGCGGUGGAGCAUGUGGUUUAAUUCGAAGCAACGCGAAGAACCUUACCAGGUCUUGACAUCCUUCUGACCGGCCUAGAGAUAGGCUUUCUCUUCGGAGCAGAAGUGACGGGUGGUGCAUGGUUGUCGUCAGCUCGUGUCGUGAGAUGUUGGGUUAAGUCCCGCAACGAGCGCAACCCCUAUUGUUAGUUGCCAUCAUUAAGUUGGGCACUCUAGCGAGACUGCCGGUAAUAAACCGGAGGAAGGUGGGGAUGACGUCAAAUCAUCAUGCCCCUUAUGACCUGGGCUACACACGUGCUACAAUGGUUGGUACAACGAGUCGCAAGCCGGUGACGGCAAGCUAAUCUCUUAAAGCCAAUCUCAGUUCGGAUUGUAGGCUGCAACUCGCCUACAUGAAGUCGGAAUCGCUAGUAAUCGCGGAUCAGCACGCCGCGGUGAAUACGUUCCCGGGCCU
rnacentral:rRNA from 1 species